GGAUGUGAGGGCGAUCUGGCUGUGACAUGUCACCCCAUGGAUUUCCAGGGUUGAUUUGGCUGAUCUGACUGGCUAGGCGGGUGUCCCCUUCCUCCCUCACCGCUCCAUGUGCGUCCCUCCCGAAGCUGUGCGCUAGGGGGAAGAGGACGGCCUUCCCCGAAUAGAGACGGACCGGUCUUUGGUCCAGGGUAUACAAGUAGCUGCGCUCCCCUGCUAGAACUUCUAAACAAGCUCUCAAGGUCCAAAAUGUGGUUUAAAUUAUCUUAUGCUACUAGUACCACAUUUAAGAUACAUAGAGAAUUUU
rnacentral:snRNA from 1 species